GAUGAACGCUGGCGGCGUGCUUAACACAUGCAAGUCGAACGAAGCACUUUAUUUGAUUUCCUUCGGGACUGAUUAUUUUGUGACUGAGUGGCGGACGGGUGAGUAACGCGUGGGUAACCUGCCUUGUACAGGGGGAUAACAGUUGGAAACGGCUGCUAAUACCGCAUAAGCGCACAGCAUCGCAUGAUGCAGUGUGAAAAACUCCGGUGGUAUAAGAUGGACCCGCGUUGGAUUAGCUAGUUGGUGAGGUAACGGCACACCAAGGCGACGAUCCAUAGCCGACCUGAGAGGGUGACCGGCCACAUUGGGACUGAGACACGGCCCAAACUCCUACGGGAGGCAGCAGUGGGGAAUAUUGCACAAUGGGCGAAAGCCUGAUGCAGCGACGCCGCGUGAGCGAAGAAGUAUUUCGGUAUGUAAAGCUCUAUCAGCAGGGAAGAUAAUGACGGUACCUGACUAAGAAGCACCGGCUAAAUACGUG
rnacentral:rRNA from 1 species